UACGUAGGGUGCAAGCGUUUAAUCGGAAUUACUGGGCGUAAAGCGUGCGCAGGCGGUGAUGUAAGACAGGUGUGAAAUCCCCGGGCUUAACCUGGGAACUGCAUUUGUGACUGCAUCGCUGGAGUGCGGCAGAGGGGGAUGGAAUUCCGCGUGUAGCAGUGAAAUGCGUAGAUAUGCGGAGGAACACCGAUGGCGAAGGCAAUCCCCUGGGCCUGC
rnacentral:rRNA from 1 species